AUGUACCUCUUUGGUAGAAUGUUUCAUCUCUCUUGGCACCCCUACCUCCUCGUUCUCUUCUUCCUCUGUCUUGCCGACCACCUCAGCACCUCUGACGUUAUUGUUGGUACCAAUGAGCUGGUCUAUAAUGGCUUUCCACCCAACAUGAAGCUUGGUGGCCAAGCUUUGUGGACAGGUUACCUGUUGAGUCUAACCAGUGGCCCAGGUGGUAAAAGCGGUCAUGCUUUCUGCAGCGAUCCUCUAAGCUUCCAAAACCAAUCUGGUGGCCCUAUCUCCUCCUUCUCAACUAUAUUUGUGUUUAUCAUGGGCUUUAAGCACUAUGAAGGCAACAGCCAGUGCCUUGGCCUCCCCUGUUCUAACUUAGAUGCCCAUGUUUUCUUCGCUAUCGAGUUCGACACCGUCUUAAAUCCUGAGAUCGGGGACAUCAAUGACAACCAUGUUGGGAUUGACGUCAACAGCUUGGCCUCAGUUGAAUACCAAACUGCUGGCUUCUAUGACCAUUUUGGUGAGUUCCAAACCAUUGUACUCAUAAGCGGCGAACGAGUACAAGCGUGGGUGGAGUAUGAUAGCAAAUCGCACCAGCUGAAUGUUACCUUAGCACCUUGUUGUAUCUCUAAACCCCAAAUUCCAUUGCUAUCGACCACUGUCAAUCUGUCCUCUUUGUUGUCACUGGGUCCAGUUUAUGCUGGGUUCUCUGCAUCCAGCAACAAAGUCUCCUCUGACCAUUAUGUUCUAGGCUGGAGUCUGAAGCUAGAUGGGGCGGCUCAACCACUUGACUAUUCUGUACUGCCAUUUGGCAAUGCAGAUGAACGUCAUCAAGAGUCCAAAUCUGGUGUUCUCUUCAGUAUGACUGGAGGAGCGCCAUUCAUUGUACUGUUAGUCUUCCUAAUAGUUCUUUUUGUUCUGAUAUGUCGGCAUCUAAGAAAGGCAAAGGAAGAUGAUGAGUGGGAGAUCAAGUGUGGGAUGCCGUCUUUCACAUACAAGGAACUAGUGACUGCCACCGAAGGCUUCAGUAACAUGAUGCUUCUCGGGAAGGGAGGCUUUGGAAGGGUGUACAAAGGGGUGCUGCCUACCACCACACAACAUGUCGCCAUCAAGCGGGUGUCACCGGAAUCAAAGCAGGGGAAGAAGGAGUUCAUGGCAGAGAUCGCCAUCCUUGGCCAUGUCCGCCACCGAAACCUUGUCCAACUGCUAGGCUCUUGUAGGUACAAGCAGGAGCUGCUCUUGGUCUAUGACUACAUGCCCAAUGGCAGCCUUGAUAGGUACUUGUAUGACAAGAAUACGCCGACCUUGGAUUGGGCUCAGAGGCUUCGCAUCAUCAAAGGCGUAGCUUCCGACCUCUUCUACCUGCACGAGGAUUGGGAGCAAGUCAUCAUCCAUCGGGGCGUCAAGGCAAGCAACGUUCUCCUCGACGACGACAUGAAUGGGAGGCUUGGUGACUUUGGCCUCGCAAGGCUGCAUGACCACGGAGUCGAUGCCCACACUACACAUGUGGCGGGCACCUGGGGAUACAUUGCCCCUGAGCUGGCCCGGCUUGGCAAGGCGACCAAGGCGACCGACGUAUUUGCAUUUGGAGUGUUUACCAUAGAGGUGGUUUGCGGGAGAAAACCAAUCGGCCCGGCCAACACCAGUGGCGGCCUUCUUGCGCUGGCGGAUUGGGUACGUGGCACAUGGCAGGGUGGCUCGAUCGUCGACGCCGUGGACCCUGAGCUGAAAGAUUACGACGCGGCGGAGGUUGAGCUUGUGCUGAAGCUUGGGUUGCUAUGCUCCCAUUCUCUGCCCAGGUCGCGCCCAUGUAUGCGUCUAGUAAUGCUGUACUUAGAAGGAGGUGCAAGACUUGCAGACUUCCAGCCAGCUUCUCAUGGACAUGAGGAUGAAGAGAUUGAUCAGGCUUUGUGUGCAUCUGCAGCUACGACUGUGACCAUUCUUUCUGGAAGACCUCUUGUCCGUUGCUUGAAAAGAGGACAAAUAAAUCACCGGGAGCUCUGGAGCUGGAGCCAGAAGUGGCACUAUCAUUGGUCGUCGACGACUCGACUUUGGGCGUUGGGGGAAAAAAUGCUUGUUAGUUUCAUUGGUUAUGUUGUUCGUUUCAUUGUGCAGUUGUGCCUUGCUAGUAGCUACCAGAUGGAGUUGUUUUCCAUCGCCAUCCAGAGCAAAACUCCUACCAUAUACUCAGUAUUUCUCUACUUGUUAACUAGUACUAGGACUUGUUCUUUCCCCCGCCAGCUUCUACAGGCGACAAAGCAACAAAACUGUAUCCGCCAUGAGCUCCUGUGA
rnacentral:rRNA from 1 species